GAGCAAUCUGCCCUUGACUCUGGGAUAACUGCGGGAAACUGUAGCUAAUACCGGAUACGACACCUUGGGGCAUCCCGGGGUGUGGAAAGAAUUUUGGUCAAGGAUGAGCUCGCGGCCUAUCAGCUAGUUGGUGAGGUAAUGGCUCACCAAGGCGACGACGGGUAGCCGGCCUGAGAGGGUGACCGGCCACACUGGAACUGAGACACGGUCCAGACUCCUACGGGAGGCAGCAGUGGGGAAUAUUGCACAAUGGGCGAAAGCCUGAUGCAGCAACGCCGCGUGAGGGAUGAAGGCCUUCGGGUUGUAAACCUCUUUUAGCAGGGAAGAAGCGAAAGUGACGGUACCUGCAGAAAAAGCACCGGCUAACUACGUGCCAGCAGCCGCGGUAAUACGUAGGGUGCAAGCGUUGUCCGGAAUUAUUGGGCGUAAAGAGCUCGUAGGCGGUUUGUCGCGUCUGCUGUGAAAAUCCAAGGCUCAACCUUGGACCUGCAGUGGGUACGGGCAGACUAGAGUGCGGUAGGGGAGAUGGGAAUUCCUGGUGUAGCGGUGGAAUGUGCAGAUAUCAGGAGGAACACCAAUGGCGAAGGCACAUCUCUGGGCCGUAACUGACGCUGAGGAGCGAAAGCGUGGGGAGCGAACAGGAUUAGAUACCCUGGUAGUCCACGCCGUAAACGGUGGGUGCUAGUUGUGGGCCACAUUCCACGUGGUCCGUGACGAAGUUAACACAUUAAGCACCCCGCCUGGGGAGUACGGUCGCAAGACUAAAACUCAAAGGAAUUGACGGGGGCCCGCACAAGCGGCGGAGCAUGCGGAUUAAUUCGAUGCAACGCGAAGAACCUUACCAAGGCUUGACAUAUAGAGGAAACGUGCAGAAAUGUAC
rnacentral:rRNA from 1 species